rnacentral:rRNA from 1 species
GUGUCAGCAGCCGCGGUAAUACGUAGGGGGCAAGCGUUGUCCGGAAUUAUUGGGCGUAAAGCGCGCGCAGGCGGUCUUUUAAGUCUGGUGUUUAAGCCCGGGGCUCAACCCCGGAUCGCACCGGAAACUGGGAGACUUGAGUGCAGGAGAGGAAAGCGGAAUUCCACGUGUAGCGGUGAAAUGCGUAGAGAUGUGGAGGAACACCAGUGGCGAAGGCGGCUUUCUGGACUGUAACUGACGCUGAGGCGCGAAAGCGUGGGGAGCAAACAGGAUUAGAUACCCUGGUAGUCC